rnacentral:rRNA from 1 species
GACGAACGCUGGCGGCGUGCCUAACACAUGCAAGUCGAACGGGGUUGAGUGCUUCGGUAUUCAACUUAGUGGCGAACGGGUGAGUAACGCGUGAAGAACCUGCCUUCCAGUGGGGGACAACAGUUGGAAACGACUGCUAAUACCGCAUGACACUUUCGAAGGGCAUCCUUUGAAAGUCAAAGCUUUAUGUGCUGGAAGAUGGCUUCGCGUCUGAUUAGCUAGUUGGCGGGGUAACGGCCCACCAAGGCGACGAUCAGUAGCCGGUCUGAGAGGAUGAACGGCCACAUUGGGACUGAGAUACGGCCCAGACUCCUACGGGAGGCAGCAGUGGGGAAUAUUGGGCAAUGGGGGGAAACCCUGACCCAGCAACGCCGCGUGAAGGAAGAAGGCCUUCGGGUUGUAAACUUCUUUUACCUAGGGACGAAGGACGUGACGGUACCUGGAGAAAAAGACAACGGCGUAACUACGUAG